CGACCCCUAAUGCGGCGUGACCCCAUGCAGAGAAGCCUGCUAUCGUUACUUCUGUGAGAGUUCAAGUUACAGGAGCCACCAGGGCACCACUGGAGACUUGGUUGCUGAACCCCCGUUCUAAGGUUUAUUUAGGACUUCGCAAAGAGGCAACAUCCACCGCCCCAGUCUGGUGGUGUCCCAUAGAGCA